UACGGAGGAUGCGAGCGUUAUCCGGAUUUAUUGGGUUUAAAGGGUGCGCAGGCGGAUUUUUAAGUCAGCGGUCAAAUCGUGGGGCUCAACCCCAUCCAGCCGUUGAAACUGCAUCCCUUGAGUGCGCGAGAAGUAUGCGGAAUGCGUGGUGUAGCGGUGAAAUGCAUAGAUAUCACGCAGAACUCCGAUUGCGAAGGCAGCAUACCGGCGCGCAACUGACGCUCAUGCACGAAAGCGUGGGUAUCGAACAGG
rnacentral:rRNA from 1 species